rnacentral:rRNA from 1 species
UACGUGGGGGGCAAGCGUUGUCCGGAUUUAUUGGGCGUAAAAGGCUUGUAGGUGGCCACGCCAAGUCGGAUGUGAAAUCUCCCGGCUCAACUGGGAGGGGUCAUUCGAUACUGGCGGGCUCGAGGCCGGUAGGGGGAAGUGGAAUUCCCGGUGUAGUGGUGGAAUGCGUAGAUAUCGGGAGGAACACCUGUGGCGAAGGCGGCUUUCUGGGCCCUACCUGACGCUGAGACGCGAAAGCGUGGGGAGCGAACCGG